rnacentral:lncRNA from 1 species
AAACAGAGGGGCACAGGACAGGUCUUUCCCUGACAGCCUUAAAGAAGAACCAAUACUUUUAUUACCUGGAUCUUAGACUUGUAGACUUCAGAGCUGUGAGAAAAUAAAUUCUUGUUGUCUAUGUUCCCCACAGGUGAUGCUUUGUUUGGAUGAUCGCAGUAAGCCAAUAUGCUGGCCUUCAUAAAAAGUUGCGCUGAAGUAUAUCUAAUAUUAAUAGAAAGCAGUAAGUGAAGCCAUGGUAGGGGUGGAAGAGAAAGCCAAGGACCACAGGGUUAGGGAUAUUGGUGAGAAAGUCCUGCACUCAAAAGACAAUCUGAAGGACAGGUGCACUUGUGGAUCAGGAAUACCGGAAAGGAAGUGCUAAAAGAGAGAAAAUUACCCAUUCAUCGAGUCACUGCAAAUUUCUUCAGAGCCUGGGUAUGUGUCCUGAGCAGCUAAGGUAAAGCAGACUGGAUAGCAUGAAUCUCAUUAAACUUGUUAGAAACAAGGACAUUCCUGAGUACUUCAUUCAGUUUUAUUAAACUGUUAGAAGACCUUAGAAUCCUGCUGAUGUCUGGUGGUGGGUUUGAAGGAUCCUGGGUAUUUGUUACGAGCUCCUCACAUAAAGUAGACCGGAUAGCACCUAACAUCACUGUAGAUGGAAGUGAUAGAACAGAGACUGCAACUCAUGCAGGUGAGCUCCAGAGUUCGUGUUUAUAAUCACUGUGCAAAGACAUUGAAUGACUUC